AUUAAUUUAAAAUUAAAUUUGGUUUUUAAAGAAAAAAUUCUAAUUUUUUUAUACAUUUUUUAAAAAACAAAUAAUAGAAAAUUUAUUUUAUUAAAUAAUUAAAAAUUAUUAAGAGUUAGAAUAAAUUUCUAGCUAAAUUUGUGCCAGCAGCAGCGGUUAGACAAAUAGAAAAAUUCUUUUUAUAAUAAAAUUUAAAUAAUAAAUUUAAUUAUAGUUAUUAAAAAUUAAGGUGAAAUUUUUUUUUAAUUAAAUUUUAUAUAAAAUUAAAAUUCUUAUAAUAAACUAGGAUUAGAUACCCUAUUAUUUUAGAGCUUUACAUUGUAAGUAAAUAAUAAUUACGAAAGCAAAAAAUUAUGGCGGUAUUUUAAGCUUUUCAGAGGAAUUUGCUCUUUAAUGGAUAAAACACCUAAAUCUUACUUAAAUUUGUUAGGUCAAUUUGUAUACCACUAUUAAAUUAAUUAAUAAUUUUAAUUUAUAAAAUUUAUAUAAAUUUAAAAAAAAUUAAGUCAAGGUGCAGUAAAAAUUUAAGAAUGAAGUGAAUUACAAUUCUCUUAAGAGAUUAUUUAAAUUAAAAUUUUAAUUUAGGAUUUGAAAGUAAAAUUAAAAUAGAAUGUUAAUUUGAAUAAAGCUCUAAAAUAUGUACAUAUCGCCCGUCACUCUUUAUUAAGAUAAGUCGUAACAAAGUUAAAAUACUGGAAAGUGUUUUA
rnacentral:ncRNA from 1 species